rnacentral:rRNA from 1 species
ACGAUGACGGUGGUGCUUGCACCACCUGAUUAGUGGCGAACGGGUGAGUAACACGUGAGUAACCUGCCCCCCACUUCGGGAUAACCUCGGGAAAUCGUGGCUAAUACCGGAUACGAGCACUCAUCGCAUGGUGGGUGCUGGAAAGAUUUAUCGGUGGGGGAUGGACUCGCGGCCUAUCAGUUUGUUGGUGAGGUGAUGGCUCACCAAGACGAUGACGGGUAGCCGGCCUGAGAGGGCGACCGGCCACACUGGGACUGAGACACGGCCCAGACUCCUACGGGAGGCAGCAGUGGGGAAUAUUGCACAAUGGGCGAAAGCCUGAUGCAGCGACGCCGCGUGGGGGAUGACGGCCUUCGGGUUGUAAACCCCUUUCAGUAGGGAAGAAGCGAGAGUGACGGUACCUGCAGAAGAAGCGCCGGCUAACUACGUGCCAGCAGCCGCGGUAAUACGUAGGGCGCAAGCGUUGUCCGGAAUUAUUGGGCGUAAAGAGCUUGUAGGUGGCUUGUCGCGUCUGCCGUGAAAACCCGAGGCUCAACCUCGGGCGUGCGGUGGGUACGGGCAGGCUAGAGUGUGGUAGGGGAGACUGGAACUCCUGGUGUAGCGGUGAAAUGCGCAGAUAUCAGGAAGAACACCGAUGGCGAAGGCAGGUCUCUGGGCCAUUACUGACACUGAGAAGCGAAAGCAUGGGUAGCGAACAGGAUUAGAUACCCUGGUAGUCCAUGCCGUAAACGUUGGGCACUAGGUGUGGGGG